UACGUAGGGUGCGAGCGUUUGUCCGGAAUUAUUGGGCGUAAAGAGCUCGUAGGCGGUUUGUCGCGUCGGCCGUGAAAACUUGGGGCUUAACCCCAAGCCUGCGGUCGAUACGGGCAGACUUGAGUUCGGCAGGGGAGACUGGAAUUCCUGGUGUAGCGGUGAAAUGCGCAGAUAUCGAGAGGAACACCUGCGGCGAAGGCGGGUUGCUGGGCUGACACUGACGCUGAUGUGCGAAAGCUAGGGGGAGCGAACAGG
rnacentral:rRNA from 1 species